GAUUUUAUAAUUUCAUUUUCAUUUAGAAAUUGUUAAUUCUUUCCUUUUAUGACAGCCCCUACUUCAAGAUUAUUAGCGUCUCUUGAGUUCUAUGCCUUUUCGUAGGUUGAAUCCAUCAAAGCUUCUAGAUAAGAAUCGCUUGUAGAAAAGUUUGGCAUCGAUCCAAAUAAUGCCUUUGCUAUCUGGGAUUGGGUGGGAGGACGCUACAGCAGUAUGUUCACUUUUAUGUCAAAUACUCGACUUAGAGGACGACUAACUGGUUUCUGGGCCACUGCUUGCAGUUUGCAGCGCUGUCAGAGUGCUAUUGGGCUUGCCGAGUGUUUGGAAUGUGUCGUUCCUUGGCUAUCCUGCUAGAGAACUCGGCUGCUGAAAUGGCAGUCUAGCAGCAGCAGCAGCCCACUGUGGAGGUAAGUGAUUCUUUAAUUUGGGGAUUUCUUGGAUUCAACAUAUGAUUCAUCGGUUGCUGGUACAUUUGUGUUUGGAAUCGAAAAAGUUGAAGACGUCAUCUCAUGAGUUGGCGGUAUUUGAGGAUAUAGCUUUGACAGAUGUUGAUGAUCGUGAGCCUGUGCCGAUGUCGUUGGAGCAUUCAGAAAUUGAAAUGAGAGAUAAGAAUCAAAUGGUGUGAAUCAUUUUCUACUUUUCGUCACUAUUUGAUUUUGUGGGACAUGAGUGAUUUACACAAAGAGCUGUUGCAAGAAAAGGUUGAAAGACAUGAGUGAAAUGCAUUUCGGAGAAUUGUCUUGUGCUCCGGAAAAUCAUUCUUGUAAUGUAGGAUGAACGAUAUUUGAAUGUAAUU